rnacentral:rRNA from 1 species
AAGAUUAAGCCAUGCAUGUCUAAGUAUAAACAAAUUUAUACCGUGAAACUGCGAAUGGCUCAUUAAAUCAGUUAUAGUUUAUUUGAUGGUAUCUUGCUACAUGGAUAACUGUGGUAAUUCUAGAGCUAAUACAUGCUUAAAAUCUCGACCCUUUGGAAGAGAUGUAUUUAUUAGAUAAAAAUCAAUGUCUUCGGACUCUUUGAUGAUUCAUAAUAACUUUUCGAAUCGCAU